GAUGAACGCUGGCGGCGUGCCUAAUACAUGCAAGUCGAGUGAACGGACGAGAGGCUUGCUUCUCUGAUGCUAGCGGCGGACGGGUGAGUAACACGUGGAUAACCUACCUAUAAGACUGGGAUAACUUCGGGAAACCGGAGCUAAUACCGGAUGAUAUUUUGAACCGCAUGGUUCAAAAGUGAAAGACGGUCUUGCUGUCACUUAUAGAUGGAUCCGCGCUGCAUUAGCUAGUUGGUAAGGUAACGGCUUACCAAGGCAACGAUGCAUAGCCGACCUGAGAGGGUGAUCGGCCACACUGGAACUGAGACACGGUCCAGACUCCUACGGGAGGCAGCAGUAGGGAAUCUUCCGCAAUGGGCGAAAGCCUGACGGAGCAACGCCGCGUGAGUGAUGAAGGUCUUCGGAUCGUAAAACUCUGUUAUUAGGGAAGAACAUAUGUGUAAGUAACUGUGCACAUCUUGACGGUACCUAAUCAGAAAGCCACGGCUAACUACGUG
rnacentral:rRNA from 1 species